UCCAGGCGGUCACUUAUCGCGUUAGCCUGCGCCACUGAAGCCUCAAAGGCCCCAACGGCUAGUAAACAUCGUUUACGGGAGGGACUACCAGGGUAUCUAAUCGCUGUUUGCUCCCCAUGCUUUCGUACCUCAGCGUCAGUAUUAGGCCAGAUGGCUGCCUUCGCCAUCGGUAUUCCUCCAAAUCUCUACGCAUUUCACCGCUACACCUGGAAUUCUACCAUCCUCUCCCAUACUCUAGCUUCCCAGUAUCGAAUGCAAUUCCUAAGUUAAGCUCAGGGAUUUCACAUCCGACUUAAAAAGCCGCCUACGCACGCUUUACGCCCAGUAAAUCCGAUUAACGCUCGCACCCUCUGUAUUACCGCGGCUGCUGGCACAAAAUUAGCCGGUGCUUAUUCUGCGAGUAACGUCCACUAUCCCAGAGUAUUAAUCAAAGUAGCCUCCUCCUCGCUUAAAGUGCUUUACAACCAAAAGGCCUUCUUCACACACGCGGUAUGGCUGGAUCAGGCUUGCGCCCAUUGUCCAAUAUUCCCCACUGCUGCCUCCCG
rnacentral:rRNA from 1 species